CGGAGGCGCCCAAAGGUUCCCUCAGAAUGGUUGGAAAUCAUUCGUAAGAGUGCAAAGGCAUAAGGGAGCUUGCUGCGAGACCUACAAGUCGAGCAGGGACGAAAGUCGGGCUUAGUGAUCCGGUGGUUCGCAUGGAAGGGCCAUCGCUCAACGGAUAAAAGCUACCCCGGGGAUAACAGGCUUAUCUCCCCCAAGAGUCCACAUCGACGGGGAGGUUUGGCACCUCGAUGUCGGCUCAUCGCAUCCUGGGGCUGUAGUCGGUCCCAAGGGUUGGGCUUUCGCCCAUUAAAGCGGUACGCGAGCUGGGUUCAGAACGUCGUGAGACAGUUCGGUCCCUAUCCGUCGUGGGCGUAGGAAAUUUGAGAGGAGCUGUCCUUAGUACGAGAGGACCGGGAUGGACGCACCGCUGGUGUACCAGUUGUUCUGCCAAGGGCAUAGCUGGGUAGCUAUGUGCGGAAGGGAUAAGUGCUGAAAAGCAUCUAAGCAUGAAGCCCCCCUCAAGAUGAGAUUUCCCAUAGCGUAAGCUAGUAAGAUCCCUGAAAGAUGAUCAGGUUGAUAGGUUCGAGGUGGAAGCAUGGUGACAUGUGGAGCUGACGAAUACUAAUAGAUCGAGGACUUAACCAUAUAA
rnacentral:rRNA from 1 species